rnacentral:rRNA from 1 species
ACACGACUACAUUAGAUACCCCUGUAGUCCUAGGCGUAAAUGAUGCGAGUUAAGUNUGGGGGCAUCUACGAGAUGGCCCUGUGCUGUAGGGUAGCCGUUAAACUCGCUGCCUGGGGAGUACGGUCGCAAGGCUGAAACUUAAAGGAAUUGGCGGGGAGCACCACAAGAGGUGGAGGCUGCGGUUCAAUUGGACUCAACGCCGGAAAACUCAUCGGGAGCGACAGCAGUAUGAUUGCCAGGUUGAUGACCUUGCUUGACAAGCUG